AGACAGCCACCUCCACCCAGCAGCCAGCCAACACCUUCCUGCAAACCCACAGCGCCUCCCCUUGGGUGGAGGACUGGGAAGAGACGAGCCUCCAGGAGGGAGCGCUGUUCUCCUCUGACCCACAACUCCUCUGGCCUGAGAGAGAGUCAAAGCUCAGCUGAUGAGUCCUACUGGAUUCCUGUUCUGCCGUAGACGAGGCUCCAUCUGUGGUUGAGGAAGGAGGCGCUGCUGUCAUCAGAGGAGACCUGAGGAGGAGGAGGAUUUGAGGCGAUAAUCUUCUGUGAUAUGAGCUGAGCUGCGGGUGGUCCUGCGCUCCCAUCACAGUGAAGACGUUCAGCUUCAGCCCCCCCAGCUCAAUGCGAUGUCCCUGGAUGAUGAUGUCAUUGGUCAGCUCCAGCUGUCUGACACUCUGUGAUGUCAUCAGCUCAAGACCUGACAGU